GGAAUGUGGCUCAGUGGUAGAGUGUUUGCCUAGCAUGUAUGAGGCGUUGGAUUCAAGUCUCAGCACCA
rnacentral:tRNA from 1 species